AUGGCUGGCAGCGAAACGACUGCUCUCCAGGUCCCCGUGGCGUUCAAGGACGCCGACGACGGCACCAUCCCAGUGCGCCCACCUACCGAGUAUGCCGCCGCCGUGGCGUCCCUGCCGUUGAACCCUACCAGCAAGCUCAAGUUGCGCUGCUAUCAGGGCGUGUGGGUGCUGGAGGACUGGGUACCAGGCAUCAUAUCCAUGCAGCGCAGCUUCUCAACGCGCCCCGGCGACGUGGUUCUUGCGAGCUUUCCCAAGUGCGGCACCACUUGGCUCAAGGCUCUGAUAUUCGCCACGAUGGCCCGUGCUGCGUACCCGCUAGCCAGCCCCGCCCACCCGCUCCGCCGCCUAAACCCGCACGACUGUGUGAUUCUAGUGGACAGGCUCUUCGCCGUCGGCCGUGAGGCAGUGCUGGACAAGCUGCCCUCGCCGAGGCUCAUGUGCACGCACAUGCCUCUCUCGGUGCUGCCGCCGUCUAUCUCUCGUGGCCCCGACUGCAAAAUCGUCUACAUAUGCAGGUAA
rnacentral:rRNA from 1 species